rnacentral:rRNA from 1 species
GUGGGGAAUAUUGGGCAAUGGGCGAAAGCCUGACCCAGCAACGCCGCGUGAAGGAAGAAGGUUUUCGGAUCGUAAACUUCUAUCCUUGGUGAAGAUAAUGACGAUAGCCAAGAAGGAAGCCCCGGCUAACUACGUGCCAGCAGCCGCGGUAAUACGUAGGGGGCAAGCGUUGUCCGGAAUGAUUGGGCGUAAAGGGCGCGUAGGCGGCCCGGUAAGUCUGAAGUGAAAGUCCUGCUUUUAAGGUGGGAAUUGCUUUGGAUACUGUCGGGCUCGAGUGAAGGAGAGGUAAGCGGAAUUCACGGUGUAGCGGUGAAAUGCGUAGAGAUCGGGAGGAACACCAGUGGCGAAGGCGGCUUACUGGACUGUAACUGACGCUGAGGCGCGAAAGUGUGGGGAGCAAACAGGAUUAGAAACCCGAGUAGUCC